AAGUGUUAUGUACAUGGACCAGUUCCUCACAAUGGAAGUGAACAUUGCAUACUACAAACAUGGACUAGAAAGAAAAACAGAAGUCCUUCACCCCCUAAAGCUUAUUAAUGUCUCCAUUUGGAGGAGAUAGAUAAAAACAAAAGUAAGUAACAGAAAUACUUAGUAUACGAGAUUAGUGGUGAGUGUUACGGAGAAAACAGCAGGAGAAGGGGUAGGGAGUGGAUGAGUGGACACGGAAGGCAUCCUGAAGAGGCCAAGGGUGGGGAGCAACCAGGGGAGGAGCACGUGGGCAGGGAGGAACGGCAGGUGUGAAGGCCCGUGGUGGGAGUGACCUCACAAUCGCAGAGCAAUGACCGGGUUCCCUGAAGCUGGCACAGUGGACAGGGGGACAGAAGUGGGAGACCAGAGAGCAUCGGUGUAGCAUUCUUGUAGAUCCAUGUUUAAGGACUCUGGCUUUCAUUUUGUCAAAAUGGGAGCUACUGGGUUGCUGGAGCAAUUGGACAAGUGGCAAUGCCUGGUGGAGCGAGGGGUGGAGACGGAGGUGCGGUGGUCGGGUUGGAGGUGAAGAUCUGGUGGACAGCAGGGGAGGUGAGAUACGAACCUGGAAGCACGGAUUGGCUGUCGGGGAAGGACUCAAGGAAGACCUGGUUUGGGGGAGAAAGUUCCGGCUUUCACCUUUGCACCCCUUAG